UGGGGAGUCGUCUAAUGGUAGGACUGCAGACUCUGGAUCUGCCUAUUGGGGUUCGAGUCCCUGCUCCCCAGCC
rnacentral:tRNA from 1 species